AUCAUUCUAUAUAGAGACUAUAAUCUCCAAUAUAUCGAAUGCAACGUAUUAUUUCUUCUUCCCAUCUAAAGAACAUCUAAGAAAUAAGGAGUUUUAAUUGAGAAAGAAUCACAGACAGGUCAUUACUCAUGCCCUUUUUUCUUCAUGUAUUUAUAUUAUUUGAGUUUCGAUUAAUAUAAUGAGCAUCUUUUGUAUAUGACUAAUUAUUAAGUUAAUUCUAACAAUAGAAAAACUUUUCCUACCCUAACUUGAUCAAGUAUGUAAGUAUAAAAAUAAAAUAAAAACCUCAGUUUUGUGUUGUCCAGAAGCACAAUUCUAUACAUAUUAUGUCAUCCUAUAUUACAUAUUAAAAACAUAAGUCAGCUUAUUUAGAAACGAAGUGGUUGUAAAGAAACAUGUUGUAGUAAGACUUAUAUCCACCAUCAAAAGCCAAAAAAAAAUAAGAAGGAUUGCAGUCCCACCAACCCUAAUGUAUUCAUCACUAAUUUUAUCUAUUUAGUUAAUAACACACAUAUCAAUGUUUAUGUAAUAUUACAAGAAGACAUAUGAAGAAGUUAAAUCAUAAUUUUAAUACAAAUAUUAGUACAUCAAUAUCAAUCAACAAAAUAUUAAUAAAUACAUUUAUUUUAUUUUUGAUGUGAAUUAUAACCUUAAACAAUGCAAGGACAUAGCUAAAUCUAUCACUGUGACCAUGAUAGAUUAACAUCAUGGUAGGAUUAAACUGAGUCUGCAAAUGCUGCAAAUUCACAAGGUUUGCCUCACCACUAUGAAGAUGACCAUAUCAUAUUUCCUAUCAUAAUUACAGAUACAGUUAUGAAUCUUAUGAUAUUACAAAAUUAAAAAAUUCAUUGGAUGGGAAUAGCUGCUGCAUUUCUCUGCAUUGGUUUAAUUGAGCCUCACAAAUUGUAAAAGCAAAGAAGAUAAUUUAUUAAGCGGAUUGUACUAUGUAAAAUGAAAAUAUCAGUCACCAAACAUAGCAACUGAUCAAAAUUGAAACCAGCAUGAUACUUACAGAAAAAGAAUAUGAUACUCAAAAUAAUGACUUCCAAAAGUCCUCCUCAAAAGACCCAACCAUUCCUUUCUAGAUUACAGACCCCACAUUCAUCAUCCAACCUUUUCAUGGAUUGAAAUAAUAAAUCUGUAGGUCAAUCCAUGUUAGUCUCACCCUUCCAAGAUCCUAAAAACAUAAUUUAACCAAUAUUCAUAGAAGUUUAUAGACAGACACUCUUAACCCCUAAGAUUAAGUACCACCCGAAGGAGGAGGAGGUGACGGGGGAGUCUGCGCUGGAGCAGGCUGAUUACCCCCACCGCCUCCACUAUCAUUAUGUUGCCAUGGUUUCACUGUGGCAAGAACCACAAUCAAGACGAUGAUCAGAAGAAGUAUAAUACAAUAACAGGCCCAUUUCCUUGUGUUUUUCUGGUGCUUCCUUGCAGUUUGUAACUGAUCGGUUCCAGUGUGCACAAACGAGCUCGCCCUAGCCACGUGGCUCUCGAUAUCGUCCAAUUGUUCGCCUUGAAAUUGUACCAUUACUGUCAUGUCGAGGAACACUUGGUGCAAUGCCAGUAGACUCUUCUCCAAGUCUUUGACAGCGUCAUGCCUCUCUUGAAUUUCAUUGAUGGUGUCCAGAAUUCUUCCCCUGCCUUGUUCUUGAAUUGCUUUCUGAAGAAAGGUCUCACUCUCACCUACAUAAGAGUGAAACUCACAUCAGUUAGAUAUAAAAUCUAUUGAACUCGAACUUAAAUAUUAAAACUCAAACACUAGCAACAUAUACUUCACCAACUCAACAAACAACAAGCUAUCUUUAAAAGUGAUUCACUACGCAUACUAAAAUUUUCAAAAACCUUUUCUUUAGUGUUAAACCUACGAUUUUUGAACAAGAGUGUUAAACCUACAAUUAUCAUGCCACAGGAGGCUGAUCAAGGGUAUGAAAAAAGAUUCUCUACCAUCAAUAAGGAUUUCCUGGAUUCACGCAGUCAUCGGUUUGGCACUUUUUUAGUGUUAAAACUUAAAUAUACUGAUACAUAUGUAUCAUGCCGUGAGAGGCAGAGAAGCUGUUGGAGGCUAAUGAGGGUAGAACGAAUCUCUACAAGCAGGGAUCCUCUGCAUUCACACAAUCAGUAGGUCAACUCCAUCCGAUUUUGAAAUAUAUUUUUAUUCAAUUAACAAAUUUGGAAAUUUGAGCCAACGCACACUUAGUGGAUAAGACUUGAUUGUUGUUAUCUAGAUCAAACAAUGUUUAUUAUUGACCGCGUGAAUGCAACGAAUCUAACUGUAUGGAAGCCAAAUCCAGGUAUCGCAUCUCUUCAAGAGAUUCAAUUCUUACAAUCAUCAUCUAUGAAGGAUUGACACGGACAUCAGACAUGAUACCGUUGACACACCUGCAAUAAUUUCUUUUUUAAAAAAGACAAAAUUGAAUGUAAUCAUGUGUUUUGGUGUCAGACAUCCGACACAUCUUCAAUUAGAAUUGUCAAUACUGCGGGACAUCAUCAUACUAGUACCCUCACACUAAGGAGAAUCAUACACAUUCUCCUCACUUGUAUAUACUAUAUACCAACCAAUAAACCAAUUCAAUUAAGUCAAAUUAUUUUCCAAUCCAAAAUUGAUGAAGAAUUCAACUCAUGAUGAUCACCUAGUAAAACACACUAGAAUUUAUUUAUAUAAAAAUUAAUUUCAACAUCAAAUUAUCAUAAAACAUGAUUAGUUUUAAACAACAAAAUCAAAGAGAUAUAAAAAUUACCAGUAGAUAUCAAUAGAUCAAGAGUCUUAUCAUCAGGAUUCUCUCCAGUAACAGUAAAAAAACGCCGUUGAACAGUCUCUCUAUACUCCGUUGUAAUAACUUCACGCAAACGAUUAAAACUCUCCAUAGAAUCCUUCAACUUCUUCUUCAAUCCAUUCACCACCGAACUCCUCGUCCGGUCCGACGAUGAACCCGGUCCACACCCUUCCAAAUUCCGGUUCGCUGCAUUAGAUCUUUCCAACUUCUCUAACUUCAGCUUCACCAUCUUCGCCUUUUUCAACGCCGCAGAAACUUCUUCGUCCAUACGUGAACGAAGCUCCUUCACUCCUUUAGCAUCGUGAACCGUUUUCGUCUGUUCGUUAGUCUUUGAAAGUCGUUGGUGGAUUGAUUCUAGCUCUUUUAGAUCAUCUUUUACUCCUUCGACAUCGUCGAAGAAUUUGUCAAGGUUUAUUCUACCUCCUGCUCCUGCUCCGGUUCUGGUUCCGGCACCGUCUGUCAUCUCGAUGACGUGGUGCCGGUCCGGUGAAACUUCUUCGCUACGGAAGCGAGAAAAUGAACCGGUGAAUAAGUUGUUCAUUUUUCUUCAGUGUGUGAGAUUUGAUUCAGAAAUGAUCGAAAAAUGUGUAAUAAGAAAGAGAGAAGAAAGACUGAAAGAGUUUUGAAGUCAAUGGAUAUUUAAAAUGAUGGAGUAGGAUAAAGAGAAUGGGGUGGAAUGUAGAGGAUAAUACCGCGUGCGUGCGUGCGUGUGGCGUGUUUGGUUUAAAACAAGAAACUUCGGAUUGGUUCAAACAUUGAAGGACAGAAGCGCGUUGAUUGGUCUGAUUAAUGAUUUUACUGAUUUGUAGUUUUGAUUGUGCUGUAUGUCUUUGUGCUAGUACAAUUUAACUUAUGACUUUUUUGCUUAAGAAUAAAGAAAACUUUCCAAACGCGGGGGAAAAUUCACUUUUAAGGUAAGAUUAUUAUUUCAUCCGUAUCCAAUCCAAAUAUGUCACUUUUUCCUAAUGAUAUUAAUCUCUGUCUUAAAGUCUAAUUAAUCAUUUUACUAUUUCUUCAUCUAGAGAGCUAAUCUAGUCGUUCACCAAAGAAAGAAAGAAAAAAAAAAAAGAGCUAAUCUAAUUUUUUAUCUAGAGAAUUAAUCUGAUUUCUUGCUUAAAAGGUAUGAAUGCAUUUAGACUCGUAGCAAUGUAAUUUUUCUUUUGAGUGGACUCGGACCAAUGUAUGUUGUCAAAAAAUAAUCCUAACAACAAACUUUUUGACACAUAAUCUCCUUUAGUUGUUUUUGAUAAAAAAAUUAAAACUUUUAUUUAUUAAAAUUUAUGAGUUUGUUAAAUUUACACGGGACUUAUAUAAUUAAGUGAAACACACAUAAAUUUUAACAAGUAACGGAUAAAGUGUUGAAAAAUAUGUUUUUGGGUUGGUACGAAAACUAAAAGCAAAAUAUGUGUAAAUUUUAUAGGACAAAACUUAUAUAAAAGAUUUUACUCCCACCAUUAGGAGUAAAAUUGAGGCAGACCAUGACCAUUUUUGGUCAAAGAGUUUGCUAGUGCAUUAUUUUCUCUUAGAAUGUGAGAACAACAACAAAUGAUGUCUUUCACUAUCUUUAAAUAUUUGUCUCAACGAUUGUUUAAACUCCAAGGAAACUCAUAAGCUUGUUUAAAGGCAUUGACCAUUGUUUGAGAGUCUGUUUCAAUCCAGAUAUUACGCCAGUUCAGCUUCUUUGUUAUUUCAACAACAAACAUCAAAGCACAUAGCUCUAUAGUAAAUGCAAUUGGGAUGCUUAUAUUCUGCACGAAUCCACCCUUAAAAUUGGCAUAGCCAUCUCUGAGUAUGACUUCAAUAGAAGCAGAUGAAGGAUCACCAAAGGUCGAGCCAUCAAUGUUGGCCUUAAUCCAACCAGGCGCAGGUGGAAUCCACCUAACUUCAAUUUUCUCCAACAACCUGACAUGUUUGUAAGAGACGCCAAGGAACCUAGUAACAUAGAAGUCCAUCUUAGAAGAAUUACCAUUUUCCUUCACUCGAGAACUGCUAAGCUUAAUCUCAACAAGAAUAUGACUUAUGAGGUUUUGAAUAGAUGAGUGGUUGUUCUGAAAUCUCCUAGCAUUCAUCUCAAUCUAAACCUUCCAAACUAUAUGAACCACAACAGACAAUAUCAAAUAGUGAGCAAAACUUUCCCAGUGAUUAUUGCAACUAUCAAUUAAGGCACUCCAACUACUUCUAUCAAUAUUACACUUUAUUCAUGUGUUCCUAAAUUUUCUCUAUGAAAGGACAAUUAAGAAAAAAAGUGUUAAGAUGUUUCAACAUUAUUCUAACAAAAAACAACAAAUAGAGACAAUUAUACAACCUCUAUUUCUUAAGUUUUCAUCUGUGGGGAGCUUGCCAAGAGCGAACUCCAUAGAAUAAAGCAUCUAGAUAAAGGAAUAUAGUUGUUCCAAAUAUCUUUACACCAACUAACGGAGGGCCAAGAACCUUUCACAAAGUUGUGGGCCUCUUUCCCGGUGAGCAAUCCAUUCACCAGCUCAAUUUAUCUGGCACAAGUUCCAAAGCAAUUGUUCCAUUGUUGAUUUCAUGUGCUAGUAUAGGGGCUCUAAAUAGAAUGUUCCUUAGGAGAACAUGGUUGAGUCAUUAUUACAAUGUAUUACUUUUAUCAAUCAGAGAACAUGGUUGAGUCAUUAUUACAAUGUAUUACUUUUAUCAAUCAGAGAACAUGGUUGAGUCAUUAUUACAAUGUAUUAUUUUUCUUGUAAUUUUUUUUAUAACCAUUGCAUUUUAUUUACGUAAGUGUUAUUCAUAUAAAUUGGAUUAAAUGGACGAAGAUUUGUCAACCUAAGAGUAAGGGAGGCUUAGGGGUGAAAGACUUUAGGAGGAUGAAUUUGAGCCUUAUGGCAAAGUGGAAGUGGCAAAUUCUUCAAGACGAACUACCUCUUUGGAAAGUGGUUUUGAGAGAGAAAUAUGGGGGAAAUUGUAACGCCCUAUUUUAUUAUUUAUUUAUUUUAUUGAGUUUAGAUGUUUUUUAUAAUUUAGUCGAUUUAUUUUGAUGAGUGAUAUUUUGUUAUAUUAUAUGUUGGUAUUUAUUAGUAUAAUAUAUAUGUUAUUUGAUGUAGAAAUAUAUAUGUUAUCUCGUGUAGAAAUACAUUUGUUAUCUCGUGUAGUAAUAUAUAUGUUAUGUGGUGUAUAAAUAUAUUUGUUAUUUGGUGUAGAAAUAUAUAUGUUAUCUGGUGUAGAAAUAUAUUUGUUAUUUGGUGUAGAAAUAUAUUUGUUAUUUGUUAUAUAUAUAUAUAUAUAUAUAUAUAUAUAUAUAUAUAUAUAUAUAUAUAUUAAAAUAGAAUAUUGAGAUGUGAGGGCAGAUUUGGAAUAAGGGAUAAUAUGUUAGGUUUAUAAAAAGAGAGGUUAGGAAUAGAGAAACAGAAUACGUGAAAACAGUUUUUGGGAGAAUAGGGAGAAACCAAGAGAAGAGAAGAGUCAGAGAAGAGAAAGCGGUAGAACCUUGCGAUCAUCUAACCUAUGGUAAGGGUGGACUAGCUUUCUCUAAUAAUGGGUUGUAUAAUUCUGAAAAAGGGUUUAACCUUGUAGUUGUUAUUAGUUUUGAUGUUAUAGAAAUUAAGGUUAAAUUUCAUUCAUAAUCUUUUGUAUAAUCUUUUUUUCUACUUCUACCCAUAAGUGCCUAUUUGUAUAAAGUGACUAUUGUGGAUUUAAUUGGUGAAAUUUGUGCUUAUAUUUUGAUGCAAUGUGUGGGUAUGUGAAUUUGAUGUUAAUUAAGUUGUUGAUGAUGAAUUUAUAUGUUCAAGUUAUGUAUAUAUGUAUACUUGUGUUUUUGCUCAAAAUUGGUGAAGUAUGAUGUUGUUUUUUGAUGAUUUUCUAAAAUAAUGAUUUGGGUCAAGUUUUAUAUGGUUUUGAGUCUCUUUAGAUGUAUAUAAAUGUUUAGACAAACUUUGGGAUCAAGUUUGGGCAUAGGGAAGUUAAAAUUGAGAUUUUAUAGUGAAAAAUGGGUUUUUCCUGAGUUGCUCUCUGACAGCACGUCCUCUUUCAUGUUCUUGCGUCUUUUUCACACGUUUUUCUUUUGAAUUGGCCUUUGGUGUAAACAUGAAAGUUGUAGAUAAUUGAGUUAGCCUUCCAGUGGCUUUGGUUUGACUUGAAAAUGAUUUUUGGUUUUUUAGUUAUGAUGAAAAUACUUCAUGGAGGUCUUAGUGAAAUUUUAUGAAAAUUCCGCAUAACUAUUUCUAAGUCAACCCAAAACUUAUGGAUUGUCUCCAAACUUCAAAGCUUGUGCACUAUGAGUUCAGUUAAGGUGUUUAAGAGUAUUUAACCUAUGUUGCGAUGAAUCUAUCUUGGUUUGACGUGAAUAUCUUUAAUUGAUUAAUUAUUAUAUGAAUGUAUAUGUUAAUGAAUAUGAUAUUAUAUGACGCUGUUCAUGAUUGAUGAAUUAUUAUAUGAAUGUAUAUGUUGAUGAAUAUGAUGUUGUAUGAUUAUGUUCAUGAUUGAUGAAGUAUUAUAUGAAUGUAUAUGUUGAUGAAUAUGAUGUUGUAUGAUUAUGUUCAUGAUUGAUGAAGUAUUAUAUGAAGGUAUAUGUUGAUAAAAAUGAUGUUACAUGAUGUUGUUUAUAAUUGAUGAAUUAUGAUAUUAUGAUGCGAAGUCGUUGUUACUGUUGUUGUGUUAAUAUCGUUAAGCUGCAAGUUCUAAGUUGUUGAAGUCGUAUAAGUUGUUGAAGUUGUAUAAGUUGUCAAAGCUGUCUAAGUUGUUAAAGUUGUUGGUUGCUGAGUCCAUGCAUACUCAUUAAAGUUGAGGGUUUGAUGCCCUGUGAGCCUAUUUGCUCUAUUAAGUUGAGGGCUUGAUGCCCUGUGAGCCUAUUUGCUCUAUUAAGUUGAGGAGCCUAUUUCCUCUAUUAAGUUGGGGGCUUGAUGUCAUGUGAGCCUAUUUGCUCUAUACGUUGGGGGCUUGAUGCCCUGAUUGGUACCACAUGCAUAUUGCAUUUGUCAAGUUGAUGUUGUUGUCGUUGCAUUGUCGUUGAUGUCGAGUUGUCGGUGUUGUCGUCGUGUUGUCAAGUUGUCGAAAUAAUUAAUGAUUUAUAGUUGGAAUUAUGUGAAGUAUCAAUAUUAUUUAUUGUUGUUAUUUAUGUUGUUUAUGUGAAGCAUUAUUAAUGAUGAUUUGAAGUUAAUUGAUGAUUUAUAGUUAGAAUUAUGUGAAGCAUUAACAUUGUUUAAUUGUUGUUGUUUAUGUUGAUAAAUUCUCUUACUUAAAUUAUUGUUUAUUAGUUUUACUAAUGAUGAAUAGAUGUUGUUAUGUGUUGUUAAAUUCUUUUAAAGAAUUAUAUGCUUAUUAUUAUUGAAUGUGAAAUCUCACCUCUUCUGUUUGAAUGUUGCCUCUACGUGGGUAACGUGCAGAUAACCAGAAUUAGCUGUUUAUGUGAGUUGACUCUCUCACGCGUCGUCUUAGGGUCGCUCUGAUACGUAACGGGAUGGGGAUCUUUGCAUUGUUUUCCAUUUGUUACGUAUAUUUAUGAAUUAUGUUGAUGAACCACCUAGAAUAGAAUUUUAAUAAGUUGUUUAUGUUGAGGCCGUAGUGCCAUUUUGUUGAAUAAUGAAAUGUUUUUCCGUUGCGAUGUAAUUUGAAUUAUUGAUGAAAGAUUUUUAAAUAAAUAGUAAUUCUACUCUAUUUAUCUUUUAAA
rnacentral:lncRNA from 1 species